CAAUAGCGUAUAUUAAAGUUGUUGCGGUUAAAAAGCUCGUAGUUGGAUCUCGGCGAGCAGAGGGCGGUUCGUUGUUUGACGCUACUACCCUAUUUGCUCGUGUUUUUGUCGGAGGUCUCUUGGUGCUCUUAACCGAGUGUCAAGUGAUGCCGGCAGGUUUACUUUGAAAAAAUUAGAGUGCUCAAAGCAGGCUUUACACGCUUGAAUAUUCGUGCAUGGAAUAAUAGAAUAGGACGUCGUUUCUAUUUUGUUGGUUUUCGGAAAUCGACGUAAUGAUUAAUAGGGACAGUCGGGGGCAUUAGUAUUCCAACGACAGAGGUGAAAUUCUUGGACCGUUGGAAGACUAACUACUGCGAAAGCAUUUGCCAAGAAUGUUUUCAUUAA
rnacentral:rRNA from 1 species